rnacentral:lncRNA from 1 species
ACAGGGACUAAGGGUUGGUACUCCUCAAAUGAGAAAGAAUGGAGCCUAUUCUGAUGUAAUAAUAGUUAGAACGUUUGAAUUAGGUCAGAGGGGAGCUUGCCUGGGCCACCUCCUUCAUAUUUAGGGACUGGAAAGAACCUGUCUGCUGCUGUUGUCCCUGCUUCAGGUGGUGGGUGAAAGAAAGAGAAAAUAUUGAAUGAUGAAUUCCAGAGAAGCAAAGAACACCCAAAAAGAAUGGUGAUUUUAAAAGCCAUGUUACCUGUAUUGCAAGGAACAUUUAACUAUUCAAAAAUAUCCAGCUACUGGAUAAUAUUGCCUGGCCAUCAGAAAGAUUUUGAACACUCCUUGACUUCUGCUACUAUAGUCAGCAGGCAUGGGAACUCUGAGCGUAUAUACAAGGUUAUUUAUACAAGUGUCUACAACUAAAGUUUGGAUGUGUCUAAGAGAAGAGCUAGUGUUUGUCUUGCAUUCAUAUCCACUGUUAGAGCCAGUGUUCAUCUAGUAUUCACUACCAUUGUCAGAGCCAGUGUUUGUCCAGCAUUGGUGUCCUUAGUUAAGCUACC